AUUGAACGCUGGCGGCAGGCUUAACACAUGCAAGUCGAGCGGAGAUGAGGUGCUUGCACCUUAUCUUAGCGGCGGACGGGUGAGUAAUGCUUAGGAAUCUGCCUAUUAGUGGGGGACAACAUUCCGAAAGGAAUGCUAAUACCGCAUACGCCCUACGGGGGAAAGCAGGGGAUCUUCGGACCUUGCGCUAAUAGAUGAGCCUAAGUCGGAUUAGCUAGUUGGUGGGGUAAAGGCCUACCAAGGCGACGAUCUGGAGCGGGUCUGAGAGGAUGAUCCGCCACACUGGGACUGAGACACGGCCCAGACUCCUACGGGAGGCAGCAGUGGGGAGUAUUGGACAAUGGGCGGAAGCCUGAUCCAGCCAUGCCGCGUGUGUGAAGAAGGCCUUUUGGUUGUAAAGCACUUUAAGCGAGGAGGAGGCUACCUGGAUUAAUACUCUAGGAUAGUGGACGUUACUCGCAGAAUAAGCACCGGCUAACUCUGUGCCAGCCGCCGCGGUAAUAC
rnacentral:rRNA from 1 species